UACGAAGGGUGCAAGCGUUACUCGGAAUUACUGGGCGUAAAGCGUGCGUAGGUGGUGAGUUAAGUCUGUCGUGAAAGCCCCGGGCUCAACCUGGGAAUGGCGAUGGAUACUGGCUCGCUAGAGUGCGGUAGAGGAGAGUGGAAUUCCCGGUGUAGCAGUGAAAUGCGUAGAGAUCGAGAGGAACACCAGUGGCGAAGGCGAGUCCCUGGACAACUCCUGACACUGAGGCACGAAAGCUAGGGGAGCAAACAGG
rnacentral:rRNA from 1 species